ensembl:lncRNA
GGAAGAGCAAGGGUGGCUUUUAUACCCAGGUUUAAAAAGCUCUUUGUCCUGUAAUGAAAAUAUCGUGUCUUUGAGUUAAAUCCAUCAAUUCAAAUGCAGUGUUUCAGUGUUCAGUAAUGCAGUCUGACAUGCUGGACAGUUGGUAUCUGCGGAGGUUAUAUCUAGAAUUAUGUGGCUCUGAAUCCUGGAGGAUCUCUGGGGUGUGCGGCUCUCAUGAGAUGUGAACAGAGAGAAGAUCAAUGACUAAGAGCUGCAGCUGUGUAUGCGAUACCUUCCAGAUGACUCAUCCUUUUUUUGACUGAAAAAUGAAGUUCUGGCAGCAAAUUGUCACUUGAUGAUGUCUAACCUGCCGCUGACAUCUGCUGUAGACAGGACAAGCCUCAAACUCUUUAAAAGAGAUUGCAGUUACGAUACAUGAAAUGGGUCAGUGGGGUAACACCAUCACUGAAGAGGAUUUCUUUUCACUUACCUUUUUGCUUUUGCUGCAAAAAGUCUGUGAUGAAGUGAAACUUGCAGGAAUUUGAGAUUCUCACCAAUAAUGUUUCAAAUGAGGCCCUCUUGAAGUACUGGAAGGCUGCAAUGAGUUCUCCCUGGAGCCUUCUCUUCUCCAGGCUGUACAAGCCCAGCUCCCUUCAUUUGACUCCUCAAAGAAGGAGAGGAUCAUCAGAAGGGCUCCAGCCCUCUGACGAUCCUCACUGCCCUCUUCUGGACCCACUCCAAUAGGUUCAUGUCCUUCUUGUGCUGGGAACCCAGAGCUGAAGGCAAUUCUGCAGAUCGCAAUGUCUGAAGUGACGUGUGUCUUAAUUGAAGAUACGCGCAUGGGAAGCUUCAUAGAGCACAUGCAAGAAAAGAAAUUCUUUGUGAAAACCUGACCACAUUCAGUACACCGUGGUCACAAAGGCCAAAAUGCCGGUGGGCUGAAGUGAGAACCUUUUCCUAUAAUAGCCCCCAUUUACCAGCCUACUUCAGGAAGAGAGUGGCUGGAUGGCAGUGAUAGUACACUUUGACUGGAGAUUUCCUGACUAACACUGACCUAGACAUGACUGGAUGUCCUGCAAAGUGAUGAAUGAUUACUUAAGAUAAGUAAACCUUGUGAUGACUUCCUUCUGCCUUGGGCACCAAAGUCUUGAUGGGUUGCACAGGAAAAAUGCCUUGCCUCAGAGAGAAUCAUCUAAGUAAGGAUCUAAGAUUAGUGAAGAAUGAAGUCCACAUAGGAGAGAAGCACUGCUGCCAGGUCAACAUCCUCUUUCUGGGACUGAAGCAGAAGCUUGCACAAGAAAGCACUUACAUCCGUUCACAUGAUGAGCAGGAUGUUUGUUCUGGAGGAUUCAGAUCUCUGGAACCCAUAUCCUGAGGAAACCUGGAUCAAGAACAAGCUACAGCUUUCUUGCAGCUGUGGUGGUGUCUUUUUAUGUGAUACCACUAGAAGUGUUGUAUUUUCUAUGGCCUUUGAGGCUUCACUCUACUACUUCUGGACUUCUCCAAGAGUACUUUCUACCCAGCUUUUCCUUCUUAAAUCUAGGAGGAGUUUUAGUGGCUUAUUCCAAAUUUACAUACGUAUGAUUCUAAAUAUAACACUUGGACAAUAGAAUACCUGGCCUGGAGAUAUGGAUACUCCUUCAACGUGGUGUGUUCCUGAAUCUGACACUACUCUAAAGCUGUAGUGGAAGUACAGUAUUUAAAUUCUCUUCAACUCUGUACUUUAGCCAUCCAUUGAGUGCCACAGUCUAGAUUAGAAGAGUAUAUGCAGGGCAUUAGCUGCAAAAGAAACCAUUGUAAUAUCAGUGUGCUGCUGGACUGGAAAGGUUGAGAUGGUUAGUAAAGCAAGUUGCACUAAAAAGGCCAUUGAUCAUAUUUAGCAGCUGUUUUAGAAAUAGCAAGCUAGUAUCUUGUGCCCAGAAUUGCAAAAUAUCUGCAUCAUCUGGUUUUUCUUUUUUUUCUUCUUUUUCUUUUUUUUCUACAAAGAAUCCCAUUAAAGUUACUGAGGAUUUGCACUUUUAAGGAAAUCAUUUAAUAGAGGGUGGUAUAUCUAAAAGCUGUAUCUAAGGAAAGUCCUGACGUUCUUUAAGUCAUCAGGCCAUCAAAAAGCAAAUGAUAUCCACACUAUUUGUUUGGGGACAGCGCCAUAGAAACAGUUUGGUUUUUCCUCCCUCUCUUCCAUCUCUCUAUAGUCAUCAUCUACAACUCUUUCCUUCCAUUCCCCAUCAACGAGCUUUUUCUGUGCACUCUCCUAACGAAUUUUGGAUAACCUUAGAAGGUGAACCUUACUCUGCUGCAAGUUUGGUCUGCUCAUACUGCCAGCUUUCUGCCACCACUGCUUAAUCAUGCAACUUCCUCCUCUGCAACUUGUCUGUCCUGUUCAUCCAAAUCUUUUCACUCAGAGCAGCAAUAGUGUUCUGAUUAACUGGUGUGCUGGCAGAGAUUACUAAAGGUAUCUGUCUGGAUGCUGCUGUGAUAUGGACACGACUCUAAUAUCUUUAAUUUUGGUACACUGCUUUGUUGUUCGCUUGUUUGUUUAAAAUGCUCUUCUGUUAUAUUUGCGGUGAUGAAAAAUAAACUAACUGGCAUCCAGCUCUGAAACUGUGGUGUUGGUGGGGGAGGGCUGCCCACUUGAAAACAAGCAAGAAGUCUUACAAAUAUUUGGACUAAUUAAUUCACCAGCUUUUCUUUACAGAACUCUUUUGUGAUAAUAAAGCCAUUCACUGACCAAGAGAGUACAUUGUCCAUUUGGUUACUGUUUUGUAUCUCAUGUCAAACAAAAGCCACUGCCUCCUACAACAGUAACAGCCGAGUAUUUUCACUACUUAAGCAGUUUCCUCUUCUAGCUGCUGGAUCGUCAAAAAUUCUAAUCAACUCUGAUCUAACACAAAGUACUACAUGGCAUUCAUCAUCUGUUUUAGCCUUUAAUGCACCAUGCAGGUUUUAAUCAAAGGCAUGCAGCCAUUAGCAAAAAAGAAAGACAAGAAUUAUGACAGUGUCCUAAACAGACCUCUUAAGCUGACAUCACAGGCAGCAGAUAAAUUCAUCUCCCCUUGUUGAAUACAAAAACAGGCAAAUAAGAUGGGCCUUGCUUGAAAUAAUUGCAGGAGAGCACCACUGAGAUUUCAGGGCAGUGACUUCCAUUGUUUUUAGUACUAAGCAUUAAGGCUUAUUUGCUUGGCUUUCCUAUAUAUUGAAAGCAAAUGUUGGCACUCUCAGCUUGAUGUGUGGGAGCUGCUGGAUAAUCUCCUUGUUUGGGUGGGUGCCUGUAUCAUCCACUGUUGUCACAGGGAGUCAAGGGGUCUGGUAGUGAUUGGCAAAGCCUGACCCCAGCACAUCCCUUACGGCAGCCAGGUCUUCUGAUUUCUCAUCUCUUCCUAAAUGAACUCUGUUUGUCAUCUCUCCUCUUUUUCUUUAGCACAGGACUAGGUAAGAUGUUGCUGAUUGUGUGUAGAACAGAAUAGGACAGUUCUGUCAAAAGAGACCUUCAGAGAUCAAGUCCAACUACCUGACCACUUCAGGACUAAGCAAAAGUUAAAGCACAUUAAUGAGGGCAUUUUCCCAGUGACUCCUGAACACUGACAGGCACAGGGUAUCAACCACCUCUCUAGGAAGCCUUCUCCAGUGUCUGACCACCCUCAUAGCACAGAAGUGUUUCCCAGUGCCCAGUCUGACCCUCCCCUGGCAGCUCUCUGCCAUUCCCAUCGGUGCCAGGAGCAGAGCCUGGCACCUCUCUGCUCCCCCUCCUCACAAAGCUGCAGAGAGUAGCAAGGUCAUCUUUGCACCUCCUCCAGCCUGGACAGCCCAAGUGUCCUCAGCCUUUUCUCACAGGACACACCUACCAACCCUGUUAUCAGUUUUGGUGCAUCCUCUGGAAGCGUUCAAGGACUCUAACACCCUUUUUAUAUUGUGGCGCCCAGAACUGCACAUGAUGUUCAAGGUGAGGUUGUACCAUCACUGAAUAGAGUGGGAUAACCACCUCUUUUGACCAGCUGUCCAUUCUGUGUUUAAUGCACCCCAAAAUGUGGUUUGCCUCUUGGCUGCUAAUCAUGCUGCUGGCUCAUUCUGAGCUGCUGUCACCUGCACCCCCAAUUCCCUCUCUGCUGAGCUGCUCUCCACCACUCUUGUCCCAUCUGUGCCUGUGUCUGACAUUGCUCCAUCCUGAGGCUUCUUACUCGCAUACAGUCCUGGGUUUUCCUCCUGCAUAUAUCCUGGCAGGUUGCAGCUGGUGACUGCCAGUUUCUAGAUAAAGUGGCCUUUGUUUCUUGCUCUGGUUGUCAGAGUAUGUUAUCAAGCUUUGAAUCAGCUUGACAUGUGGGGGAGAGCUGGUUCAUGCUGCACAGUUCCUUCAUUUGUGCCUAGUUGAGGGAAGGAUGAAGGUUGUCUUUUUGGAGAGAGAAGCAGACUGUGGGUACAGCAGUGUGAUCUCCCUCCUGCCACACUCAUGAGUGUGACUUUUUGAGAGGGGCUGCAUGAGGGUGAAUAAACACACAUUCCCUUGUGCGUCCGAGGGAAAGCUACCCUUCAUAGGGUGCAGGCUGGGCUACCCUAGGGACAGCUGCUGUUUGCUCAGACUUCUUUUUCCUUCUCCUAUUCUUCUCAGUUCUGGUGUUGGCAGAGCUGUUUCAGGUCCCACCUUACAAACAAAUGCUGUGAUAUGUGCCAGCUCGUGGCAUUUCCUUGAACCCAUGGUAGCAACAGGGAAUGAAGGCACACAUCACUCUCUAGCUGGUGCAAGCAGGGUGGGAAGCUGAUAGUUACCCAGGGAGCCUGUUGUGAGUGGGGAGUCACUGUUAAAAUUAGCCAUCGAGGGGUCUUUGAGCUCGAGAAGCCAUGCAAAUUGUGCAUGGGUGGAUUUCUUCCUCAAGCUUGCUCACACAGUGUAUGAACUUGGUGGAAUAUGUUUGUUGAUUAGGAGGUAUUCAACAGAAUUUCCCCCCAUCAUGGUAAAUGUUGAGAAGAGUGCUGUGGACUCAGUUCCCUCUUAUAAAUCAUUGCUGCUAGUGGGAGCAGGCCCUGGACAGACAUUAGAAUUGGUCUUUCUCAUGUGUCGUCUGAGGGCUGUGACCUGAUUUUUCUCACGCCAAAUUCAGUGCAUAACCUCCUAUGGGGGCUGCUGUUCAGUCCCACUGCCAGGCCUUCCUCACUGCACUCUGCUUGUAGAAGAAACCUUUGUGUAAAUAGUUGCCUUUUAUUUUGACAUAGCGUUUAAUGUGCAACAUGUGAGUCUUUUAACAAACAUUUCUGGCAAAAGCUUAAUUUGGUUGAGGGGUGGGAUGCUUUAAAUCUAUCUGUGCUUCCUGUGUCUGGCUUGCUCCUAGCUGUGCAUGGAAGUCAGAGAUCUUCCACAACACCUUGAGCCCAAACAGUGGGAUUAUAUUCUCUGUUUGCUCUAAAAAAAUAAACAAGCUUCGGUUGUUUUAACCCAGAAAUGCAAGAGAAGAUGGCGCUGAGCUGGAAGAGUGUGAUGGAACUUAAGAUAUUUGGACAGCCCCAGCCACAAGAGAUGAAGCUUAAUUUCCCAUGUAUGGAAACCUCCCUUCUUGCCCAUUGCUGCAGAAGUCACUAUACUAAGUUUCCAAAAUAUAAUGGGAGCCUAUUCAGACAUCAAGGUCCUGGUAACUUGAAUAUGUUGGUGGUGGGAAUUCUGGACACAUCACUCAAAAUUCCAUGAGCUACACUUUGGUCCUAUCAAGACAGGCAGGCAGCUGCAUGAGAGGUGGAAAGAGAGAAAAUGAUUGAGAUGAAAUCACCACCAACAACUAUUGCAGGCAGCAAAGCAGCAUUGGAUUCCAGCCACCAUACUUCUGCAACCAGGUGUGAAUGAGCCUGAUGGGAUGUUAUUAUGGAUCCUACACUGAAAAAGGCUGCUAUUUUGAGCUAACCUCAGUACCCACAGAGGGCUCCAUGACCCAUCCAUCGACUGCUGAGCUUGCUAUGAGACUAACUGCAACUCUGAGCCUGGUUUUCCCUCCCAUCUGGCAGUGAAAAUGAACUGCUGCUGACUGAAUGACCACUGAUUCUCUUGGAAGCAGAGCUCUGCUAAGAGCAACAGCCAACUCUGUCACCAUUUGUGAGGAUUUGUAGCUUGGGCCCUGAGACAUCUGGCUGAGAUAUUUACACAGUCCUGUAUUGCACUCGCUGAGGCUGUGCGUUCACAUCUGGAGUCUAGACUGAGUGACUCUAUGGGCUGGCCUUCAAGCCUCCGAACAGCUUAUGUCCCUCUUGUUCUCUCAUUUUGUCCUUUUAUUGUUUUAUUGGUUUAUUUAUUUGCUGUAGGUGCUCCUAUCACAACUCUUCAGACAUUCCUGUCAUGACCACUUGAGAGCUUCAGUGAGGAAUGACAGCAACUGAAAGAAACCAGGCAGAACCAGAUGGGAUGGGUAGGGAAAAAAGGCUCUGUUGAGGCAAGGCUUUGAUUGCGUGGUUAUGGUGAUGGGGGAUGCCUGGUGCUUGAUUACGCUGUUUCUUCUGAGGCAUACAGCUGUGUUUGUGGGAAAUGACAGUGCUCAUCUGAACAGGGUUUGCAUUCAACACAUGCGACAGGGAGCAGUGGUUUCUGUAAGCUGUUAGCUGGCCACAUGGCUGAGCCAGGCAGGGGGAUGAGUUGCCCACUACCCCGAGUCAGAUCCAUCAGUGGGAUGCAGUUACAACCUGGGUCAUAGCAGAGCUUUCUGCCUCAAGCUGGCUGAAGCAGUCCUCUGUCUGGAGAUAACCCUCAUUCAGUCUCCUCAGGGGUAAGGCAGGGGGCCAAGACCUAAAACAGGACAUGAUGGGUAGAAUUCAGUGCCAAAAUGUAGAGAUCUGAGGUACCUGAGUUGCUGGCACAGGCCUGGUAGAAUAGGAGAGACCUAGAGCAUCUAAAAGAGACAUCCAGGUUUAGGAAAUAAAUCUCUUCCACUAUUUCCUAUGUUCUGCCUUUGUGUUUAGUUAGGAAUCAUGUUUUAAAUUUGGGAUGCUACAAGCUGUAGCCCUGUACUGGUGCCAUACUGCAACAAGUGGACUCCUCCUUGGUCUGAGCACUGGCCCCAGCAAUAUUGGCUGCUGCUGCUAUUCCACACUGGGAGCACAUCUUCCCAAAUGGUGCUGCUCUCAUUCUCAGCCUCUUCAUUUCUUUCCCUGAGCCUUUAGUCUAUUAGUUCCACUUGCUCCUCUGUCCCAAAUUCUCCUUUGUUUUAGAUUUCCUGGUUGCUUAGCAGGCCUGUUUGCUGCUGCUGGAGAAAUACUGCUGGAGAGUCAAGAGCCAAGUAUUUUUGACAACUGUGAAGUUAUGACCAGGAAAUGCAGUGGAGAAACGGAAUGAUCUACACCCAAGAGGAACAUAACCACCACUGCAGAUUUAACUUUGUUGAAGUCUUUAGUAAGUUUAAGUUGCUGUUGCCUUCCUCAGUCUGCUACAGGUGACUGCCAGUUAAUUUUAGCUGCAUCUGGGGUCUUGCAGUGGAGGAGAGCCAAGUUACAAGAUGUAGUUUAGCUUACGUAUCUUCACAGUCACUGCUUAAGAAAUUGCCAAUAAUGUUAUUACUCUAUUUAUCAUACCUCUAUUUUCUUCAGUUCCUUCUGCAACCAUUCUCAUCAAAUGGCAAAGCGAAGUCUAUACUGAAGCUUUUUCCUUUUUUAAUAACCAUCUGAUUUGAUCAUCCCCCAAAAUGGCACAAACCAUAUGAAACAAGUAGAACUGUGGCCCCUGGCUUGGAGAACAUGCAUGAGUAAUUAAAUCAUAUGCCCUUCUGUCACCAUUUUUUUGCAGGGAGAGGGAUUAAAAUCUGUGUUCACAGGCUGAGAGCAGGUGUCUGCGAUGAGAUCCCAUGCUGUGACAUGCAUGCAGCACACUCUUACAUGAAAAGCCCUGGCUGAUGAAAUGACCACAGGAAGACAACACAGAACCCUCCUGGCAGGAUCAGAAGAAGCUUAAUUAAGCUCUGUGGUUAAUGUUAAAGUCCUUUUGUCAGAAGCAUAACAAGGAACUUCAGUCUGGCUUUCAAAAGUGCUGAACACCCAAAACUCCUACUGAGGUCUCUGUGAAUCACAGCACAGAACAAGUGACUCUUCCCUUCACUCUGCAAGUGCUACAGAUUCAUGUGCUUCUACUAAAAUCUCCACGUGCCCGUUUGAAAGUGAAUCCAUCAAGUUGGAGAUGUGGUCUUAACAAAGCCAGGAGCAGUGACAGUACAGAGGCUGCAUGCAAAGAACAGCCAGAAGGGAUCUUCACAUGCAGUCCCACAGCUUGAAGCACUUCCAAGGCUGGACAUAAACCCAUCUGUCUAGGAAGCACUACAGAAGAGGAAGUGUGGCUCUCUGAACUGAGAUUUUUGGAUGAAGCUCCAAAAAAUGCUUCUGCUUCCAGCACUCCCCACCCCAUCCCACAGGCUGUCUCCUGGCCUUAUGCUCCUGUGUAUUGAGGGAAGGCAGCUCUUCUGCCCUGCAGGUGGAGAAAUCCCUUGGCCAGGCCUUGGUGGAUCCUUCAGGCCCAGCCUCUGUCCCACGGCUGCUCCCCAGCGCAGCACUCAUUUCUGCUGCAGAGAUGCAGGUAUCUGAGCACAAGCUACAUCGGUGCAAGGCUAGUUACUGUGCCAGGAGAACAUGUCCAACUGCCUCUUAAUAAAAGGAUGAUAAAGAGAAGGCUAGGUAAGAUAUACCAGAUUUAUUCCAAGGCACUUUGUGUACCAUGGGGUUAGGUAGAUAGAAGACUCCCUGUAUUUUACAGCUGAGAGGGGUAUCAAAAUCUUCUGCUGCUGCUCUUUCACUUCCUUCAUACAUACACUAGGACUUUUACCCCAUGCUACCUGCCCCAAGCGAUAGUGCUGUAUUGCAGCCAAUUAAUGAACCAUUGAAAUGAGUCCUUCUAGUACAAAAACCAGGUUGGAUUAUAUGAGUUAAUUAUAUUGUAUUAUAGAUUAUCUUCAGGGUUCCUUCCAACCCAGGCCCUUUAUGAUUCUACGAUACCAGUUUUGUUUGGUGUAAGAUUUAUUGUUUUUCUUUUAACAUAUGCCGGGUGAGAUGCUCUCCAAAUCUCCAACACUUUCUGCUUAUAUAGUCUUCAUCUUUCCAGAAGAGCAGUGCUCUAUUUGACUGCAGAGUUGGAUCACCCACCUGGAUCUUGGAUCCUGCCCAUUUUUGCUGCUGUUCGUGCUUUAAAUCAUUAGCAGAGCAUUUUUAUGAACACAGGAGUACCAAUCUCCUUCCAAGCAGGAGGCUAUCUCUCUGGUUGAAAUAAAAUUAGUUUAAUCUGGUCAAAGGCAGGAAUUUUUGAGCUUCAGCUCCAGAACUUGCCUUGCUGCUGCUGUCAGGCAUGCCUCGUCACCAUUUUGCUGUGGGAUGCUUUGUACUGGCUGUCUCCCCAGUUUCAGUCCUUGCUCAUCAAGGUCUCUUCUGUCACUGUCAGGUCACUGCCAGGCUAUACUUGACCUGGCUGAACUGUCAGAAAACUGCUGGCAUCCAAAGGGAGCAGGUGACCCUUCCUCCCUACCCAGCCCCUCAGCCCCACACAACUGGUGUGGUUUAUGUGUGCUCACGUCACUGAACGGAGCACCUCACUAUGAUGGCUUUGACGCUGGAAGAAUAACUAACUGCAAGGCUUCUUUCGUUUGGAAUUUUCAUUUGUAUAUCCUGGGAAUCCCCAUGCAGGUGCUGCAAUACAAGGGUGGCGUUGAUACAGAUUUUGGAGAUAAGCAUGGUAUGUUGAAGGUUUCCUGGUCACCUAAAAGUUCUGCUUUGAACUGCACAUUGUUUUCAGGUGCCCUCUGUUCUCCCAGCAUGGUUGUUCCACUGCGGAAAAACAAGUCAGGAUGUACUGGGGAGAUGCUGCUCUGAGGCUCCUGCCUGGGUACUGUGUUCAAUAACAUUUUGAUGUCAAAUAAAAAGAGGAGAGGGAGAAAUGAUGCCAAAAAGAAAUCUCAGCUUCAGACAUCUGUUAACUUUGGGUACAGUAGAGGGGAGCUGAGCAGUGUGGCCAGAGCCUAUGGUGUAUUAAUUAACAAAAAGUGAGCACAGUCACUCUGGUUCAAAGAGCUGAAGCAAACUUAGGGUGGUACAGAAGCCUGGGGUUGCUCUGCCAUUUGGGAAGGCAACUUCCCCCUAGGAAGAAGUUACGGUCUUUAAUCAUAGGCAGAUUACUUUUCUUCUGAAAAGUAACUUGUUUUGCUAGGGUGGCAAAGGCUUCUAAUUUGUUUUGGUUUUUUUAAUUAUUAUUAUUAUUAUUAUUAUUUUGUUCCUAUCUGGGAAAUGUCCUUUAAUGGAAAAGGUAGAUUUAAAAAAAACAGAUAAAAAAGAGAAAAUGUGGACUUGAGGAGCCUGGGUUUGUUCAAGUACAAGCAUGGAGAGCCUGAGUGAUCUUCACAUUCAGAUCACAACUUUGCUGCAAAGGAAAGGUCACUUUUGCUUGUGUUCAGGGUCAGCUUUUUCUCUUUCGUCCCCUUGGUAAGAUCUCUCCUUUUGUAUUGUUACGGAUCUACCUUGGUUUUGAACUUUCUCCUUUAUCUUUCCUUUGUGUGUGUGUGUGUGUGUAGGGGGGGGGAGAGAGAACUGAUAUUUCAUCUUUUAAAAGAUUUACAGGAAAAAGAAAUAAUAUAUGCACCACUGUGGAAAAGCAUGUCUCUAUUCAUACCUUUGCGUUUUACCGGAAAAUAUGUCAUUCCUUUCAGAUCCAUGAAUUAAGAUGCACUAUUUUUUGCUGAAGGCUAUUUUAAAUUAGGCUAAUAAAUUGCUGCUCUCUGCCUUGCGUGAUAAUGCAUUACAUUAUCUACUGAUGUACACGUAUUGUUUGACUCUAAUGGUGUGGAAAUUAAAUGUUAGACAUGGGCCAGAUGUUCCUAUAGAUGAAUAUGAAGUAUGACUCUGUCGUAGCUGAGUCUCAAUGGGACAGAAGGGAGACUGGGAGGCUUUCUGAACAACAGCAAUGAAAUCCUAAGUGGGUCACCCGCACCCACACCCAGGAUCCAGGCCUAACACUGAGUGUUUAUAGGCAUUAUCACCCUCAGUUCUGUUACAGUGCUUCAGCAAGAGCCAGUGCCUCUCUAAUUUCAGAUGCUUCAGUGCUCAUAAGGCCAGGAAGAGCGGCUCAUAUUGAGGGCAAAUGUUUGCCAUCCCUGCCAGGCUGACAGAGCAGCUGAGGGAGCAUCAUUGCCUGAGCUGCAAAACGUUCUGAAGCACUCCCUCUGCCCUCCCCCUCUCCCUUGUUUUCAUGCAGUGGCUGAGGGGGCAAACAGAUGUACAUUACAGUGAAUAUUAAUGAAGGUCCCCCACUGGCAUCUCCUCUCUGGAACAGGGCGGGGGGGAAAGACUUACAAUCUCCCUUGCAGGGCUAAAUUACCCGGUGACUCAUAAUCUAAGUACUGGCCGAAUGUUGCUGAACACGGGUAUUUAGGAUAUUUGAUAAUGAUGGACAGGGGCAUUUUCAAAAUUGGUAAUGAGGCAGCUUUGCUUUGGGGAUCUUCUGAUUCGCUACAGCUCACUAACACCUGAAAGAAAAAAAGGGUCCUAACAAUGAGAUUAACUAAAGGUUUCUGUUCGUGUCUAUGUUCAUACUGUGUGUGAGAUGGAAAGGAAGGACAGUUUUUACACCACUAAAAGAACAAACCAGGACUUGCAGAGCAGCAAGCGGGGGAUGCAUGGCUGCUUUCUUACUGGAUAGGAGAGAUCGACAUCCUCUCUGUUGUCAGCCCUACUGGAGCAGCCCCCUUUGGCCUCUGAGGAUUUUUGUAGGCUGACCUGUGGCUCCUGGCCGGCAAGAGAGGGAGGGCAGUGAAUGGCAGAGAGGGAGCAGCAGCAGGGAAUGGGCAGCGGAGAGCCAGGAAGAGGGCUUUCAUAGCUGCUGCUGCUGGAGUAAGGGGCAUUGAUGUGUCCUGAAGGGUGGCAUGAUCUGAGGGGAACUAGCUGUGGCUGCAGCACUGUGCUGGAUGCAGGCUUGUUUUUGUUUGCCCAGGCUCACUGAAGGCCAGGCGUUGUAAAGCUUUAUGUAUGCCAUUCCCCCUGCUGCAUGUGGCAGUCGCCCCGCAGGGGCAUCAAGCCCCAGUGGGAAGCUUUGGGCCAGCCACAUCUGUGUCUCUCACCAGAUCUUUGAGAGGCAUGUGGUGUGGCCGUGCGAAAUUGGGCACACUGUGGUGGUGUCCAUGGGAAUCCCCAAAGGGACACAAAUGUCAGCCAGAGUCCCUGCCAGGGGUGAUCCACCAGCACUGACCCCAGGAGCAAGACAGCAUCAGGUCUUCACCAUACAAUUUUUAGAAAGCCAGGCGCAUUCUCCAUUUAACUACACUGUUUCUCAGGCUCGUCAGUGGCAGGCACCAUCAGAGAUGCUGAAGAAUGUUUUCAUCACAGCUAACAGAGGGCUAUCCAGAUUGCUCGUAACUGUUUUUAGCACAGUAAACAUGUAAACUGAGUGCCUAGGGGAAAAAAAAGUGGGAAAAAAAAAAGCUUGUCCUUGCAGUAGCUGAUCAUUUUUAAUUAAAUCUCGAUCUAUCAAUCUGUUUAUUGUGUGAGGGAGAGAGAACUAGACCAGAAUGAUUUAGGAUGUGGGUACCGUUGACAUAGUUUACCUGGACUUCAACAAAGGCUUUGACACUGUCUCCCACAGUAUUCUCCUGGAGAAGCUGGCAGUCCAUGGCUUUGACAGGUACAUUCUUUACUUUCUGGGCAAAAAACUGGCUGAAGGACAAGCCCAGAGCGUGGUGGUAAGUGGGGUUAAAUCUAGCUGGCAACCGGUCAUGAGUGGUGUUGUCCAGGGGUUGGUACUGGGGCCUGUCCUAUUUACUAUUUUCAUUAAUCACCUGGACAAGGGGCACCUUCAGUAAGUUUACAGAUGACAUCAAGUUGGGAGAAAGCCUUAAUCUUCCUGAGGGUAAAAAGGCCCUUCAGAGGGAUCUGGACAGGAUGGAUCACUCGGUUGAGGCCAAUGGGAUGAAGUUCAAGAAGACCAAGUGACAAGUCCUGCACUUUGGUCACAACAACCCUAGGCAGUGCUACAGGUUUCGGGCAGAGUGUCUGGAAGACUGUGGAGGAAAUGGACCUGGGGGUAUUGGUCAGCAUUUGUCUGAACAUGAGCAAGCAGUGUGCCAAGGUAGCCAAGAAGGCCACUGGCAUCCUGGCUUCUAUCAGAAAUAAUGACAUCCUGACUUGUAUCAGAAAGAUUGUUACCAGCAGGACUAGGGAUGUAGUCAUGUAUCCAGUUACACAGUGGACUAGUUGCUGUGCUGAGAAGCACUAACAGACUACUCAUGUGCAGCCUUGUCCCUUUAAACAAGCAACCAGAGCAUGUCACCUGGACUUUGACACUCAUGAUUCAAAGAAGGAUAGAGACAGCCCUAUUUGGAAUAUCUAUAGGAGUGCCUGAAGUAACCCCAAUUCCCUGCUGAAGUACCUAAGUUUUCUCCUUUAUAUCUAUGCUUUCCUGGUCUCUGCAGAGACUUCCAAGGAAAAUCCUUAAUGAGGACUUGUCCUUCUUUCUUAUGGCAUGGACCCAUGGCCAAGGAAAACUACGCCAAGAUUUCCAAGCUUGUAGACGCCACCACUGCAACAUCUGAUUGGAACAACUGCUACCAUCCGGAGCUGAGCACAUCUGAACUGGUGAACCGGCUGACUGAUCCCCACUCACUGUGAAAUGACCAAAGUGAUUGACAGAAGCUAAUAGCAGUAGUCCAGAGCUCAGAGAGAUUUGAAGACAUUCUCCAUAGUGCUGUGGUCUUACAAGUCAAACACAAACUGUGGACACAGGUAGGAUUUGAUUUUUGGUUUUGAAAACCUGGACUCACAGUAGUAUUAAUCCACUGAUUCUUUCCUACGGCUCACUGAGGCUUGGCUGAUGCCUAGGAGAAGCCAAAAAUCUGUGCCAGGCACAUACAUUUUCCUCAGCCUCCUUCCACAGGCAAACCUGCAAGCUGAAGUGGAAGCCUCUCUGCUGGGCCAACCAGACCAUGCCUCAUGGUCUGCAAACCAGUAAACAGAGACAGCAGUCUUUCAGCUACUCUUCUGCUGGGGCUGCUUGAGAAGGCAGCCUGGAAAACUGGAAAGCCAACCGUUCAUUUAAGAACACACACACAGACAGAACCAGUGGGACUGUAUUUUAUCAAAGAUUUCUGGUGAUAAAGUUUUUGGGGAAAAAAAAAACAACACAGUUUUCCAUAAAACUUCCUAUGCCUAAGCUAUUUCUAAAUGCAACUAUUGGACACUUGAAAAAAAUAAGAACGUUAUUUUAAAGGCUAAUUUAAACAUUACUUUGAUGGUUAAGGUUUAGAAAAACCUUUUUACAAGACGUCUGAGUGUGUUCAUAGCUAUAGGACAUGUGCAUACAUUAUUACUAUCUAUGUGAUAACUUGACAGUUGUAAAAUGGUUUAAUUUUACUGUCAUAUCACUAAAGACUCUUGCUAUCUAGUAGCAAAACAACUGUAAUACUCAUGUCUCCUAUUUACGUUGUAAUGAAAUAAUAUUGACAGUUUGAGCACUACAACGUAAAUGGAAGACACUCUGAACUAGAAGAUAGUUAUCCUAAGUGGAUAUUAUUAUCUUUAUCUGUCACUACUAGUAAUCCCUAAAUAGAAAUUACUCUUAAUAUUUUUUAAAAGAGCAUUGGAAUUAAAAACAAUCCCUUCUCAUCUCUGAAUCAUGCUUUCAUUUUUUAAAAUUUUCUUUUUCAGAAAAUUUCAAAAAUGCUUUUUCUUUAUAUUUAACUACUUCCAGUGAAACAUAAAUUCUGAACCUUCCCCAGGUAUAAAGUAGUCACAUGUGCUUCAGAAGCUCCUGUGUUCAGUGGAAAGGAGCCUCCUCAAGAACGUACAACGGUCUGAGCACCGCCCUGCAGCAGCCCCCGAACCAGCAAGAUGGGCUUCUUGCAAAAGGAGGCGGCACCGCUGGAUCAAGACUGCUGAGGAUGCAGAAUUGUAGUCCCUGGAGAAAGGAACGGCUGUCUUCCACCCAUAUAACUCAAAAAGUGGAAACUUCUCAGUUGUUUUGAAUGCUUUCCUUUCCAACUGCUCAUCACAUCGGCUUAAGAUCACGUAAUUCAAAAACUGCAGAUCAUUUCCAGUGCUCGAACUUCCACGCACAAUUUUAAUGCGCAGCCUGGUAAAAUCAAGCAUGAGCAGGAAGCAAAUCACAGAAGAAACAUUUUCAUGCCUUAAAAUUACACUGGGAAGAGGGGAAAAAACAAACUUAAAACAUGCAAACAGCAAACUUGUCCAUUCACCGCAGCUGUGUUCCAGCCAGUAGUUCCCACAGCUUCAAGACCAAUAUAUUAAGCUGACAGAGAAAAUGGCUGCCGUCUUCUGAGGCCAAGUUACAGCCAUCCUUGUGGUUUGAAAGUCUGAAGUGCAGUGCUCAGAUAAAGCAGGCAACUCUACUCCAGCCUGGUAGAGACAUUAAAACACACGAGAACUUCAGUAGAAGUCAUGGCAGUCCAGUGAAGUUCCCACUGACUGAAAACAGGAGGAGAGAAAAGCGAAGCAGUUUUAUAAAGGACAAAAGGAAGACUCAGGAAACUGCAGGCUAAUCAGUCUCAUUCCUGUGCCCAGUGAGAUCAUGGAGAAGAUCCUCCUGGAAACUAUUCUAAGUCACAUGGGGCCCUGAGCAGCUUGAUCUAGUGGAAGGUGUCCUUGGCAAUCACGGAGGGAAUGGAAUUAGACAGUCUUUAAGAUCCCUUUCAAUCCAAACCAUUCUAUGAUUCUGUGGUUCUAUGACUUUCUGUAGUUUCUCUGGAAGGAUGCAAAGGUAUUGUGGAACAGAUGGAAGGGACGGGGCAUCGAUUUGGUUUUCCUCCAGUAAUACGAAGCAGUAGAAGUAAAUACUCCAGCUCUGUCUCUAUUCAUUUCUUGCUGCUUGGGUGGUUGAGUGAUAAGGGAGAAUUUUUUCUUUCUCCUCCUACUCCUAUCCGGCUGAAAGGGUUAUAUUUAAAUAAUGGAUCUUGUAGUCCUGUGUGCUUUGUAAGCUGAUGCUCAAGUGCCUGCUUCUUUACUAUUGUAAAGUUGAUAACACCAUUUUUACAUGUAAAGCCUUCACAGCAGGCAGCUGAAUGGCUGUCCAGAUGGCAGGGUUGUUGUUUGGGAGUCCCUGAGCUAGCAACUCCUUAGUCAUCAAGGUUCUUCAAUUAUUGUCAUCUCCCUCUUGUAAGUGUCUCCACUGAUUCAUAUCAGUGUCACAAAGGUACAUUUGUUGGACUUAAUCUUAAGAAAAAGUGGUGGUAAAAAAUGUAUGGCAACUCAUGAUGGCCAGAAGGGGUCCCUACCUUUGGAAGCAAGGUUUGCUGUUGCUUGUGUUACAUACUCAGCAGUUCACAGUAGUGGCAUUCUGCAUCACUUGGGACCAAAAAAAAAAGUAAGGUAUCUCAGUAGCAGGGCAUCAGUGCAGACUUCCAAAAGUAAGACUGUCAGGGAACCACUUCUUAUUUGAAUUCAAUUGCAGCUUUACAUGUGCUGGAUGCAUAUGGUUUUCCACAUUAAGAUGUAAAGUUUAUACAAAUCUGAGGUGUGAAUGAUUCCACUGAGUGCUGAUGACAAAUAUUUCAGUAUCAACACUUAGCUGUUAAGCUUACCUUAAAAACUUGCUGGAAUGAGAAGCCAUUGGUAAUUUCUCUACUGACAUUAGACAGCAAAAAAAGCAGAGCUUCUGAGCACUUCUUAUGGAGACUAGCUGGAGCACAGGGCAUGUAUGAACUAUCCUUCCCCGCUGUUCCAGCUGGCUGGUAAUUUAUGAUGCAAGAUCCACAGUGUGAGAAGUUAGAGCCCAGAGUCAAUGACAGGAAGUUGAAAAUGAAAGGCCUGUAAGUCCUAAGAGUAGCCAGUCAUGCUCUCAAUGCAAAGGAGCCAUAAAAGUCAAUUAAUCCUUUAUGACUGGGAGUAUAGAUACUUCUGUUGUUGUUGUUUUGUUUCAUUUUUUUUAAUUACCCCAUAUAUUCUGUCAAUAAAAUGAGUUCCAGCAAUAUCUCUACAGAAGAAAUGGCAAAAGGUGUGAGAAAGCAGAAAAAGCUUAUUAACUUAUUUCUACUUUCAAAUGUCUCCUAGAUAUCUUGCUAUUUCACUGAGGGGCAUAGCAGAGAUAAGCGGAUGCCCACUUUCCACAGAUAACUUUAGCUGGCAUAGUCACCAACAGUGAUCUCAGAGUAGACAGAGAUAAUAGACAAUUGAACAAGUAUGGCUCUUCCCUCUGCAACUUCUUUAACUCCUGAUGAUCCAUAACACUUCAGUGGGAAUGACCAGGACUUUUUUGUGCAUUGAAACCUGGAGGACCUUAGUCAGAAUCUCAGGAACCUAAGUUAAUAUUCUGAAUCAGGUUUCACUACAGGAGAGUUUAGGGAAUUUCCCACAGUGGGAUCUGAAAGAAUGAGCCCAAACAACUGUUUAAUGUCAAAAUGUCAGCAGAAGAGAUUUCAAAAUGCAUAAUCAAAAUUAACAGUAAAUUCGUACAUUCACAUGGUGGUACCCAAAAGUUCUGAAGAUACUCAAACAUUGAAAACUAAUCUCCAUUUCAGAAAAACAGUGGAAGAAGUGAUGCCACUAUUUAAUAAUAAUAAUAAUAAUUAAUAAUAAUAAACCUCUGCAGGGCUGUUGGCCCAUAGAACUAGAGACAAUUUACCCAAUUUUAACACCAGGUAAAUUACUUCUGAGGAUGGAAGUCACACCACCCAAAUUUAUUUAUAAAAACUGUCAGAGGAUGAACAGGUGGAAAAGGGUGAUCUCACUGAUAGGGUUUACUUGCAUAUCUAAAAUGUUUUACAUGAAGUCUUAUAAAAAAUAUAAGAUUCUCAUAUGGAGUGGUAAACCAGUAUAAGAUAGGAAGCAAAGGAAUACAUUAUCAAUUUUCACUGUGAAGGGAUGUCUAGUAGAAUUACACAGUGAUGUGUACUGGGACUAUAUUCAUAAAAUAAGAUGAAAAAUGGGUAAAUAAGGAAGCAUAAUGAUGAUGCUAAAUAAUUCAAGGCAGCAAAAAUGCAAUUUGUCUGUGAAGGAUUCAAAAAUACCUCAUGAUAUUGAGUGACUGGAAACUAACAGGGCAAAGUAAAUUUGAUUCUGGCAGUUGUGAAAUAAUAUACGUUAAGAAAACGACAUCUGUAUAUGUGUGCAUAUACAGCAGUGUGUUGUGGUUGAGCUCUUGCCACUCAGGAAGAUUUUGUGUUGUGUGGACAAGGCUUUGAAAGCAUCUCUUUGGUGCCUAUCACCUGCAAACUUGGCUUAUAAACUGUUAGGAAAGAAAUUGAGUGCAAAAGAAAACACAUAAUUAUGGCAUUGUAUAAUGCCAUAUAUAGAAGUAGGGCUUCUGGUUUAUUUCUGAAAGGAACAUCCUUGUUACAGUAAGAAGCCAGCAAGCAAUGAAUAGUAAAUGAAGUGAAAGAUCUGCUUAACACCUCACUGUGAACAAAAAUGAUAAUGUAGACAAAGGGUUUGUGUUGUUUGGGGUUUUUUUGUUUGGUUGGUUGGUUGGUUGGUUUGGUUUUGGUUUUCUUCACAGUUCAAGGCAGGAGAAAGGCAGUUGUCAAGGGCUAUAACAGAGGCCUAUCAAAUUAAAUAUUAGUUGGGAAAGGUAAAUAGAGAACAACUACUCCCUCUUUCUUCUAAUAUAAGAAGUAAAGACAUCAAAUGAAAUUAUCAGACAACAGGCUUAAAGCAAAAGGAAGUACUUUUUCACAAACUACAUAAUGAAAUUGUGGAACACAUUACACAGGAUGCUUGCAAGGCUGAAACCAUAAAUGAGUUCAAAAAGAAAUUAUACAAAUUAAUGGAAGAAGGGCCCAUGAUGGGUUAAACUUGAUGAUGUAGAUGCAAUUUACAGGUCAGGAAGAGUCUCAGAUUUUCUGGAGACAGAACCACUGUGUACAUUCCUUAUUCUUUCUCUGCGUAUCCACUACCAGCCACAGUCAGAGAGAUGAUGUUGCACUUCGGUCUUUGUUCUGACCCGGCAAAGCUUGUCUUACAUUUUUUUCAGGGAACCAUAACCCAAAAUCCACUAUGAGCCUGGAAAAGUCAGUCUGUGAAGCUCAGGCACAAAAUAACCAUUGGGUUAGACUUGCUUUUAACAGCUACUUAGAUCUCAUUUUUGAUGCUUUCUGAUUUUAAAUUCUCUCAAAUUAUCACUGUAUUGCCAGCAUGCAUAUUCGUAUGGACUGAUCUGAUCCUCACCUGGGGGAAGUAGUAGCAAGCACCUUAGGUAACUGUGGCUACUCAGUAGCAAGUACUGUGACCAAAGAAGCCUCUGUAGAAUAGGAUAAAUGGUGCUGGGGAUCCCGUAUCUGUACUCUGCAUCUUUGGCUGGUGGUUAAUUCUAGCUUUAGUUUGGUUCCACUGAGGAAUACUGCUAGCAGCUGCAUCGCACUAAGUGCAUGGCUGGAGCACAUAUUGCAACCGAGUUUCAUACAAAGUUUGCAUGUUCCACGGUGUGAACCAAAGCAUAGUAAGAGGGCAGGAGUAGUCAGGAGAUUUAUUGCAAAAAUGUAUGCCUGAUCCAAACUGAAAUGCUAAUGUGGUACACCCACUGGCUGCUACAAGGAGUCUUUCUAAGAGGCUAUUGUAAAUGUGCCAUAGGGUAAGAAUUUAACCUACUGUGAACAAUUGAAGCUUUCCAUUUUGUUUCUCUUUUCUUCCUUUCCCUUCACUACAGUUUACAUUCUGAUUGUGUCAACCCAUUUAUUUAGCAGUUAAUUCAUUGCUUGUAAGUCAAGAAAUAUUGCUCAUUAUGCAUAUAGACAGCAUCGUUUAUUUUCCUGGCUUUUAAGCAAGGGCUUGAACUGUUUUUGUCUUUUUAAAUAAAGCUUCCUGGAUAUCAAGAUGCCUUCUGUGGCAGAGGGCACAACCACCAAAGGACAUGCAGCAUGUCAGAUUAUGUGAUGGAGUCUUGAAUACAACAUGUAACUCUCAUCAACUUUUGUGAUAGACCAGUAGGUCCCUAGGAGCAGAAAGCUUGUGUAACUUUGCACUCAAAACAAUGUUGCUAUCAUGCAAGCUACUGCAUCUGUAUGUUACAGAGUGCAUCUGCUUUCAGGAUUUAUGAAGGUGGGAUGAAAGAGAGCCAGAGUUGAGAUUCACCUUAGGGGCUGCUGUGUAUGAGCUGGACAGAACUCAGACUGGGGUUCUGUGGCAAUGCUCACACUAGCAAUGCUCAUUAGCAACACUGAGCCUCAAAAGACACUAUUAAAUCUUUGAGUACCUGUGUCAGUUUCAGGACAGGUGUGUUACUGACAUCAAACGUUAGACCCAGCACUAGCCCUAUUUGUAUGCAUGGUCUUUCUGUCCCAACCUGUUCUUAGCAAACCAUCACCAAAUAUCAAAGCAAAAUAAAUGCUAGACUAGCACAAUGUCUGUAUUUGAUUCUAAAUGCUACUUAAAUCAGGUACUUGCGUGUUUAUUUUUCACUAAAGAAGUCAUGAGAAAAGCAGAUAUGCUUGUAAGGAAAGCACAAUUCCUUUUGAUUCUAGUAUCUCUCAUUUUAUAAUAUUAAACAUUUCCUAGGAAUGAGAAAAUGUGACCAACAUCCCUACAUGACAGAAACAGUGGUUUAAAAUCCAUCAGUUUUACUAAAAUUUUCACAACAUAAAUACAAUUGUUUCCUGUGAUAGUAAUAAUUCAAAGCUCUGUCUGGAUGUAAUUUAAAUUUUCCUUUACAGCUAUACUUCCAAAUGUCUCAUCUUUUCACAAGUUCAUAGUAUCACCUCAACCUAAAAUCCAGGUGGAGCUAAAGUGGUGGAGCUCACAUGCAACCAGUCUUUCCUAUUUCAAAAAACUAACAAGCAAAAAGAUGAACAAACAAAAAAACCCACUAACCAUAACUAUCAUUAAUACUGAGGGGAAAAAAUGUUGUAAUUGCAUAAAAGGUCUCUCAAACUGCCUGUGGCCUGGGCAGUGCUUUGGAUUGGAGCUUGACUACUUCAUCCAGCAGGACCCCCAUCCAAAUAGCAGUAUAUUCAUACUAUUCAGGCACCAAGAAUAAGAGUUUUCUCCCAAGACUGUGCAUGCUACUGUCAUUUCACUUGCAAAUGAAGAGCAGAUAUUUCUUGAUGUGGAAGGUAGCAGUAGCUAAACAACAAACAAUAUUCACAAUACUACAUUAGUUUUCCCAGACAUGUGUAUGAGAGUUAAGAUGAAAAUCUGCAUACUAUCUGAUAAUGAAGUUAGAUCCUUAAAGGCUUAUGAUAUUAGAUUUACAGCUGAAGGGAGGUAGUUGUGAGCCCAUGUUAAGGCUUUUCUGCUUCCACAACUUGCUUUUUCCUUUUCCAAUCCCUCUCUGCCUCAAACCUGCCUAUCAGUUGAAGGUCAAGUACUGAAUCUGUGGAGAUUAUACCGCACUGUUCCACCUUUUGGAAGUACUUUCUCUUCUGCAUGAUGCUUAAGUAGGUGAUGAUACAGUGUUAAAUAGCAUUGGCUUCAUUAACAUUAUCUCCCUCCUCUUGUUAUAACCUGAUCAUAAAUGUUCAUGACAGUGCACUAAAAGAAAGGUUUGUUU